AGAGCGGAGCUGCACUGACCUGCAGACAGAGACCCGACUCGACCUGAGUUCACAGACAUGGAGACCACAGUGCUGGCUUUGAUGCUUUGUCUGGUGAUGACUUCUUUUCCAACGGAGUCUGUGAGAAUUCCCCUGAGUAUGAUGGACAAAUCAGUUGAUGACAUGUACAACGGCUGCAGUGAUGCAAUGGCUGAAAAGGUCAAGAAUGAAUACUUCCCCAGAGAGAAGAAGAAGAAUGAGUUAUUCAAAAAGGCCUGGGAGAAUAAAGAAAACACUGCAACUAAAAAAAUAUGAAAAAAGCAACAAGACACUGACCAAAAAGAUCAGAUCCAAGCGUUGUUGGUCUACACUGGACAGGCCCCUAAGGUCUAUGAACCCUUUAAUGCAGUGGUUCGAGACAGUGCAGAUAAAUAUGCCACUAAUGAAUUCACAUACCACG